rnacentral:miRNA from 1 species
GUAUUAGGUGGCUGCAAAAGUAACUGUGGUUUUUACCCUUCCAUUCAGAUGACAAAAACUGCAAUCACUUUUGCACCAACCU